UUGCACAAAAUGUAUUCAUGCGCCGUAGUCAGUGUGAAAAAGUGAUUCGAACGGUGCUGAGCUAAUAAAAUUUUAUAAAUUUAGAAGAAAAAAUUUCUUUCUGACAAUGAACAAUUGCGUAUGGUUUGGAUUAAUUCUCGGUUUGGUACUAAUCCACACCGAAAUGAGUUACGGCAAAUCUGAAGCCAUUUGUUAUAUGAAACAUUCAGAGGACAUUUGCUCGUUUGGCGAAUCGAAUCAGGUUAUUCGUUACUACUACGACGAGGAAACUAAUGAUUGCAAGAGUUUUCUGUUUGAUAUCGAAUGUGGCAGCAGUGGAAACAAUUUUCUAAGGAAAGCAGACUGUGAGAAAUCUUGCAAGCGAUCUUCAUUCUCUGUUUUGCCGUAAAACCAGUUCGAAACACUGGAAACACCAAAGCUUUGGAAAUACACAUUAUUUGCUAA